UGAAAUUGAAGCACUUCCAGGCCAAAUUGGCCUUGGCCACAGGCACUGAUCAUCACGACGCCUUGAUGUACGGUGCUAGGGAGUUGUUGGGCGAACUCCAGGUUUAAGUUAGCAGAGCUUUGGUGGCCACGAGG